rnacentral:rRNA from 1 species
AGAGUUUGAUCCUGGCUCAGGAUGAACGCUAGCGGCAGGCUUAAUACAUGCAAGACGAACGGCAAGUUGAGUAGCAAUACUUGACCUAGAGUGUCGCACGGGUGCGUAACACGUAUGCAACCUACCUAUAACAGGAGGAUAGCUCGGGGAAACUCGGAUUAACCCUCCAUAAUAUCAUUGACUGGCAUCAGUUGGUGAUUAAAACUCCGGUGGUUAUAGAUGGGCAUGCGUCUGAUUAGUUAGUUGGUGAGGUAACGGCUCACCAAGACGAUGAUCAGUAGGGGAACUGAGAGGUUGAUCCCCCACACUGGCACUGAGAUACGGGCCAGACUCCUACGGGAGGCAGCAGUAGGGAAUAUUGGUCAAUGGAUGCAAGUCUGAACCAGCCAUGCCGCGUGCAGGAAGAAGGCCUUCUGGGUUGUAAACUGCUUUUGUCAGGGGAUAAAAAGCUCGUGCGCGAGUAAUUGCAGGUACCUGAUGAAUAAGCCACGGCUAANUACNNGNCAGCAGCCGCGGUAAUAC